UACGUAGGUGGCAAGCGUUGUCCGGAUUUAUUGGGUUUAAAGGGUGCGUAGGCGGCCCUGUAAGUCAGUGCUGAAAUAUCCCGGCUUAACCGGGAGGGUGGCAUUGAUACUGCGGGGCUAGAGUACAGAUGAGGUAGGCGGAAUUGACGGUGUAGCGGUGAAAUGCUUAGAUAUCGUCAAGAACACCUAUAGCGAAGGCAGCUUACUAGGCUGUAACUGACGCUGAGGCACGAAAAGUGUGGGGGAUCAAAACAGG
rnacentral:rRNA from 1 species